GCCUGACUGGCUCAGUCAGUGGAGCAUGCAACUCUUGAUCUCAGGGUUGUGGGUUCGAGCCCCAUUUUGGGUG
rnacentral:tRNA from 1 species